UUCUGUAUAGAAUACAUUUAUAUAGUAUAUACCAGUGGUUGAGUUUGAUACAGAUUAUAUGAAUAACAAAUAUUAUCUCAACCAACUAUAAACCUUAUCAUAACUCUAAAUCUUAUCACAACUCUAACCUUAUCAUGACUCUAAACCUUAUCACAACUCUAACCCUUAUCACUAACUAAAUACAAGAUAAGUAUACAGCUAUAACUCAAGUUACAAAUAGAUAAAACUGUUAUAGUUAGUCUUUAUCUUUAAUAUGC
rnacentral:lncRNA from 1 species